CCUACGGGUGGCAGCAGUGGGGAAUAUUGCACAAUGGGGGAAACCCUGAUGCAGCGACGCCGCGUGAGUGAAGAAGUAUUUCGGUACGUAAAGCUCUAUCAGCAGGGAAGAAAAUGACGGUACCUGACUAAGAAGCCCCGGCUAACUACGUUCCAGCAGCCGCGGUAAUACGUAGGGGGCAAGCGUUAUCCGGAUUUACUGGGUGUAAAGGGAGCGUAGACGGCAGCGCAAGUCUGGAGUGAAAUCCCAUGGCUUAACCAUGGAACUGCUUUGGAAACUGUGCAGCUAGAGUGCAGGAGAGGUAAGCGGAAUUCCUAGUGUAGCGGUGAAAUGCGUAGAUAUUAGGAGGAACACCAGUGGCGAAGGCGGCUUACUGGACUGUAACUGAUGUUGAGGCUCGAAAGCGUGGGGAGCAAACAGGAUUAGAUACCCGAGUAGUC
rnacentral:rRNA from 1 species